UGGGAAGUGAUGUAUCAUUCUUAGCCUGAGUGUUCUUGAAGGUUUCAUGUAUUCAUACUGUCUGAUCCCA